rnacentral:rRNA from 1 species
UACGGAGGGAGCUAGCGUUGUUCGGAAUUACUGGGCGUAAAGCGCGCGUAGGCGGCUUUGUAAGUUAGAGGUGAAAGCCCGGGGGCUCAACCCCCGGAACUGCCUUUAAGACUGCAUCGCUUGAAUCCAGGAGAGGUGAGUGGAAUUCCGAGUGUAGAGGUGAAAUUCGUAGAUAUUCGGAAGAACACCAGUGGCGAAGGCGGCUCACUGGACUGGUAUUGACGCUGAUGUGCGGAAAGCGUGGGGGAGCAAACAGG